GCGCCAGGCAAAGACAGCAGCAAAUCAACCAGACCAUCCUUUGUCAGGUUAUUUCCACACGUACUGGAUUUGUUGCAGACUGCAAUUGCCUGAAGUGAUGAGCCAUUCACCUGAAGGGAACACCUCACAGAAAGAAAUUUCCAGACUCAAAAACCAGACGGUGACCAUCAAAAAGUGAGAUGUUGCAGCUGAAUUUGGAAAGAAGUUUUCUACAGGAAUUCAACUCCGAAGCAGCAAGAUCAUUCAAUCAAGACACACCAGUAAUGCACCUUUGGCAGUUCACAAAGUAUCAAUUAAAUGUUACAAGUCGUUAGAAUCUUUCUCGAAUCCAGCAUAUUCCUGAAACAGCCAAUGAAAGUACUUAUGAAGUGUACG